rnacentral:lncRNA from 1 species
UCUCACCCUGGCAAGGCAUGAGGCUGUGUGCUGCCAGAACGACCAGCAGGGGGCGCAAAGGCCACUCCAGGCACCUGCUGGCCUCGGAGAAAACAGAAAGGAAAUCAGGAAGCCCACUCCUGCUGUCCUUUCUCUGCAAGGAAAUGUGGCAGGGCACUGCAGCCCAGACAGUCGGCAGUAGAGGACCCAUGAAGUAUCUUUGUGCAAAGAAAGCAGCAAAGAGAAUUGCAUCAUAUAAAGAGUGAAUUAAACCAUCUAAAGGAGCAAAAAGUCAUCAUCACAUGGACAAGAAAUUAAGACAUAACAUCCAUAUCACUAUUUGCAAAGUGGUUUAUUCCUACAGACAAUGCAGAUAUCAGCUGGAAUCCUAGGAGCAGAAGCCCAGCAUAAAGAUCUCUGAAAGCCUGGAUGCGUGGAUUCCUCUCUUAUUUCCCAAAACCAUGGGGUAGAAAUGUGAAUAUCAGCAUGCUGCACAGAUCUCUACAGAUGCCCAGGGAACUGAAUUUCUAGACGUUAUAAUCUAUGUUCUUUCCCAACCCCCGCUUCAGUUUACAUAUCGCAGGCCAUAGAUCCUGUUUGUUGAAAAGCCACCAGCUAGAAAACAAGAGUGGUUAUAACCUGUUCUGCCCAGUGAUCAGGAAAAGAGAGCGGAUGAAACUUCCAUGACUUUCUGUUAGUCUGAUUAAUAUCCAUGCCAAAUGUAAGAUAAGUUAAAAGGCCUUAUUGCUUCCCACCAAAAUGUUCCCUCACUAGCUAUAUACUACAUUGAAAUGUAAAGUUAUGGGUAUGUUUAAAAGUUUAAUUUGUCAACGGGCAUC